GGCUUUGCUACACAAACUGCUAUCUGCAAAGGGCUAUUGCUUACCUGAUUCUACUUGAAGAAAAUUGCCAUGAAAUCUUUCUGAGAGCAGCAUCUCUCUGGCAUAGUCCCAGCUGGCAUUUGCUUCAUGUGGACAAAGCGCAGAAAGUUUUCCAAGUCCAUUUCAGAAUAUCAGAUGCCCUUAAAGGUUUGAAAGGACUUAUCAGUCAGCAACUUUGGAAGAGCAUUUCAAACCCACUGCCAAAUUAAUGGGUCAGCUAAAUAGAAAUUACAAGAAUUUGUCUCCACUGCCUUCCAAAAGCAUGGCUGGUCACAGACUGUUCUAUCUUUUCAUGAAAA